rnacentral:lncRNA from 1 species
AACGAAGCCGCAGCGCACGUGGGUGAAGGUCGCCCACCCGCUUCCGGUUGUGGGCCCCGCCCGCCGAGUCACUUGAGACGAUUGCACCUCUCCCCGUGUUUGCGUCCGCUGCCUCUAGGCCACUGACAACCGCUGGCGGUUGGCGGGCCCUCAGCGAAUAGCUGAACGGAGUAGAGGAGAAUGUUUUCUAAUAAAGCAAAGGUGCUCGGCCCAGCAGCCACGGCCCUGACAGUCGCCCACCAGCCGGCCUCCAGCCCCAAGGGUCCUCGUGUGGUGCAGGAAGCGUUCGCUCAUCUGCUGCAGGCGGGCACUGGACAGGUCCCCCAGCCGCCACUCACAUGUUCUUCUGGGCCAGGAUGAUGGCGUUGACAUCAUCUGUGUUCACCAUGCUCAGGAUGCGGCCGCAGAAGACCCUCGAGGCCGAGUCCGGGAGGUCCAUCUCUUUCUCCUCCUCCGCUGCCUGAAACAGGCAAGAACAGAGUGGUCUGCACUAGUCACCAGGUGAGGUGGGACCAAGAGGCCAGGCCGGGACCGCCAUGUGCUGGAACCUAACCCAACCGUGGUGGUAUCCUACAGUGGGGAUGUGUGACUGUGGCUCAGUCAUGCCACCUGAACCUCAGGUGUGCCACCCCAGGAAUUUGGAGGUAUUGGGCAAACUAAGAGAGGUUGUAUUUGUAAACUGUACCCAAGCACAUUAGAAUCCCAUCACCUCCCACUUCCAUGAGCCCAAGGCCACAGGUACCUCUCACCUGCACAGAUCUGCCAGCUUCCUCCCUCAUCCCCUGCCUAACAACUGCUGUCCUCACAAGCUGAACGUGUGUGGCUGCUUCAGCAAAUCAUCACCACCUCCAAUGUCUCCUCUCCCAAGAGGUCAAUGACUCCUGUUCCCGUCACUCUUACCGCUUCUCUUACUACUUGACCUCGUUUUUUUAUUUCUUUUUGAUACAGAGUUUCACUCCUGUCACCCAGGCUGGAGUGCAAUGGCGCGAUCUUGGCUUAGCGCAACCUCCGCCUCCCAGGUUCAAGCGAUUCUCCUGCCUCACCCUCCCAAGUAGCUGGGAUUACAGGUGCCCGCCACCACGCCUGGCUAAUUUUUGUAUUUUUUAGUAGAGACGGGGUUUCACCAUUUUGGCCAGGCUGGUCUCGAACUACUGACCUCAGGUGAUCCACUCGCCUCAGCCUCCCAAAGUGCUGGGAUUACAGGCAUGAGCCACCGCGCCCAGGCUACUUUACCUUGUUUUUGUUUGUUUGUUUGUUAAGAGACAGGGUCUCGCUAUGUUGCCUAGGCUGCUCUUAAAUUCCUAGGCUGACACGACCCUUUUGCCUUGGCCUCCCAAAGUGCUAGGAUUACAGGCCUGAGCCACUGCGCCCAGCCACCCUUUACCUUGAUUUAACUGCUUCACUGGUUCACCUCUUCAUGAAAUUAUCCUAGUUAUCAGCUAACCCGUUUGCCUGUCACCGCCACAACGUCAGCUCCAAAAGAGCAGAGGUGGCCAGGUGCUGUGGCUCACGCCUGUAAUCCUAGCACUCUGGGAGGGCGAGGCAGGUGGAUCACGAGGUCAGGAGUUCGAGACCAGCCUGGCCAACAUAGUGAAACCCCAUCUCUACUAAAAAUACAAAAAUUAGCCAGGCAUGGUGGUGGGCACCUUUAGUCCCAGCUACUCGGGAGCUUGAGGCAGGAGAAUCACUUGAACCCAGGAGGCGGAGGUUGUGGUGAGCCAAGACUGUGCCACUGCACUCCAGCCUGGGCAACAGAGAGACUCCGUCUCAAAAAAAAAAAAGAAGGAGUAGAGGUGUGUCUGUCACCAGAACCCGACCCGGAGUCUGGCUCAUAGCAAGGGGCUGCCAGAAUGUUGUUGUGGGGAAGGGCAACAGAACUUUUCAAACUCAGCUCUGACGUGACACUUUUAUUAGCAAAUUAAAGCCAAGAAUUGCAGGUACUCACAGCCAACCUGUGGGCCCCAGCAAUCCAGAUGGUUCUGAGGUUCCCAGUUUUGCUGGCACACAGAUGACCGUAAUGGCAGGCAGGGACUUCCCGGAGCAGCCAGGGUAGGAGGGGCUACAGCACUGACCCUCCUAGGGAGUUCAGGAAAAAUCUAGGAUCUUGAUAUAGUUUGGCUCUGAGGCCCACACAUUUAAUAGCCAAGAAACAGAGACGAACUUCUACUGGAUCAGAAAGGGUUUCAGAGGCCGGGUGCAGUGGCUCAAGCCUGUAAUCCCAGGACUUUGGGAGGCCGAGG